ACUAACAGGAAGGAGCAUUCCGAACUAUCCUUGAGAGAAAGCGCAAGACGAAAGCGGCCAUGUUGAACAUCCACGUAUGACUCAUCGUUAGUUUGAUGGUUCCGUGUUCACGUCAUUCGUCGUUUGCCGUUAAUAAAAUAUGGUCAGUUGUGUAUCGUGUGGUUGUUCCCUAACACCAAAACAUAAAACUUGUGGUGUAACAUUUCACAGGUUAAUCUACGAAUCACAACAUAUUACAUAGGCGUAGCUUAGGGUAACAUUAAUAUCGUUCUGUGUUAAUUUAGAUGUAAUUAGAAAUUGGGGUUUCAGCUGAUCAUUAAGAUUAAUAUUAUUAUUCUGAGAUAUUUGCUUAAGAUUAUUAUAAAUGUGAAAUUCUUAGGAAAGAAUAUAUACUUUAUAAUUUAACACUAGUGUACAAAAACUAAAAUUACUUUAUUUUAUAUAUAAUACAUAGUUAUAGUUAAUAAGUUAAAUUUACGUAAAUUUUUAAAGUAAAAAAAUUAAAAGUACCUAACCAUAUAGACUGCAGAAUUUAAUAUAAGUUUAUGUUACAUUAUGGAAGUACUUGUAAUAAUUCAAAAUUCUUUAAUAUAUUUAAUAUAUUGUAA